UCCCGCCGAGCGCUGCCGCUGCGGCCAAUCGGGCGCCAGGUGGGGCCGCACCUGCGGGACAGCCCGCAGCUUCCCUCCUCUUUGCUCGCUGCUGUUCGCAGGCUGGCUGUGGUGCCCUUGCGUUCUCCAAGGCCGGAACCGGACAGAGAAUUCCAGACUAAGUGAAGGAAGAGUGCCAAUAUUUGCCUGCACAAAUCAAGGCAACAGAGGCAUCCUGACACGGAGCAGCAUUCCUCCACCAGCAGCAUCCACUCAAUGACAAUAAUAAUGACAAUGACACCAACAACAGAGAUCUACUGACAAAUACUCUCCUUCCUCUCUGCAUGGCAUGACUGUUGUUGCCCAUGUGUAUACAAGUGUUGAUGAUGAUCUUACUUCUCCAAGUUCUGAGACCAGUUUAAACAAAAAAAGAAAACAGACAACAAUCUUGUGAAGAAAGAAAUUUGGAGUAAAUAUAUAUAUAUUUUUUUUAAGAAAUUAUUUCCCUAAGAAGCUGAGUAAAGAAACUAGACUUCUGCCCUGGCAGUGAUGGGAAAGAAUCCUCCUUCUUCUGCCAAAUGGUACAAGAGGAAAACAGCUGAAAAUAAGAUGGAGAGAGCCCACCCUCACACACCUGCAGUCCACUUGGAUAACUGGAAGCAUCCCUCCCUUCCCUUUGAUGUG